GGCGGCACGCUCAACACAUGCAAGUCGAACGAGAAACCCGAGCUUGCUCGGGUGGACAGUGGCAGACGGCUUAGUAACGCGUGGGUAUCUACCUAGAGGUUUGGAACAACUAUUGGAAACGAUAGCUAAUACCAAAUAUUCCCUAAGGGGGAAAGAUUUAUCGCCUUUAGAUGAGCCCGCGUCGGAUUAUGCUUGUUGGUAGGGUAAAGGCCUACCAAGGCAACGAUCCGUAGCUGGUCUGAGAGGAUGAUCAGCAAGAUUGGGACUGAGACACGGCCCAGACUCCUACGGGAGGCAGCAGUGGGGAAUAUUGCGCAAUGGGGGAAACCCUGACGCAGCCGAUGCCGCGUGAGUGAAGAAGGCCUUAGGGUUGUAAAACUCUUUCACCGGUGAAGAUAAUGACGGUAGCCGGAGAAGAAGCCCCGGCUAACUCCGUGCCAGCAGCCCGCGGUAAUACGGAGGGGGCUAACGUUGUUCGGAAUUACUGGGCGUAAGGCGCGCGUAGGCGGAUUAGACAGUUGAGGGUGAAAUCCCGGAGCUUAACUCCGGAACUGCCUUCAAUACUACUAAUCUUGAGUUCGGAAGAGGUGAGUGGAAUUCCUAGUGUAGAGGUGAAAAUUCGUAGAUAUUAGGAAGAACAUCAAGUGGCGAAGGCGACUCACUGGUUCCCGAUACUUGACGCUGAGGUGCGAAAGCCGUGGGGGAGCAAACAGGAUUUAGAWUACCCWUGGUARGUCUCCACGCCCGUNAAACGAUGGAAGUCUUAUGUUUGUCCGGSCSGGCAUGC
rnacentral:rRNA from 1 species